rnacentral:rRNA from 1 species
CCGCGGUAAUACGUAGGGGGCGAGCGUUGUCCGGAUUUAUUGGGCGUAAAGGGCGUGUAGGCGGCCGUGUAAGUCAGGGGUGAAAACUCGAGGCUCAACCUCGAGACUGCCUCUGAAACUGCGUGGCUUGAGUGCUCUAGAGGGUAGUGGAAUUGCCGGUGUAGCAGUGAAAUGCGUAGAGAUCGGCAGGAACACCAGUGGCGAAGGCGACUACCUGGGGAGCAACUGACGCUGAGGCACGAAAGCGUGGGGAGCA